GACUACCGGGGUAUCUAAUCCCGUUUGCUCCCCAAGCUUUCGUCUCUGACCGUCAAGUUUAUUGUAGUUAGCUGUUUUCACUUUCGGCGUUCUUUCCGAUAUCAACGCAUUUCACCGCUCCACCGGAAAUUCCACUAACCCCCAAUAACUUCCAGAUAUGCAGUAUCUAUCCCCUUUCUCCGAUUGAGUCGGAGUAUUUGAAAACAGACUUACAUAUCAGGCUACAGACUCUUUACGCCCAGUAAAUCCGGAUAACGCUUGGGACCUAUGUAUUACCGCGGCUGCUGGCACAUAGUUAGCCGUCCCUUAUUCCUGGUAUACCGUCAUUCGUCUUCUACCAGAAAAGGAGUUUACACACCGUAAUGCUUCAUCCUCCACGCAGAAUCGCUGCAUCAGACUUUCGUCCAUUGUGCAAUAUUCCCCACUGCAGCCGCCCGUAGG
rnacentral:rRNA from 1 species